rnacentral:rRNA from 1 species
CAGCCGCCGCGGGAAUACGUAGGAGGCUAGCGUUGUUCGGAUUUACUGGGCGUAAAGCGCACGUAGGCGGAUCCUUAAGUCAGAGGUGAAAUCCCAAGGCUCAACCUUGGAACUGCCUUUGAUACUGGGGAUCUCGAGUCCGGGAGAGGUGAGUGGAACUGCGAGUGUAGAGGUGAAAUUCGUAGAUAUUCGCAAGAACACCAGUGGCGAAGGCGGCUCACUGGCCCGGUACUGACGCUGAGGCGCGAAAGCGUGGGGAGCAAACAGGAUUAGAUACCCCAGUAGUCCCUGUCUCUUAUAC